rnacentral:rRNA from 1 species
CCCUUAGAUGUUCUGGGCGGCCCGCGCACUACAAUGGCGCUUUCAGCGAGUUCCUAUGUUGAAUUUUCCUGGGUAUUCUUGGAAGCGGCGUCUUGGCUUGGGAUAGAUCCUUGUAAUUGUUGGUUUUGAACGAGGAAUUCCUUGUAAUCGCGGUUGAUCAGCUCGCGUUGAAUACGUCCCUGCCCUUUGUACACACCGCCCGUCGCUCCUACCGAUGAAUCGUCCGGUGAAGUUCACAGAGUGGCGGUUCGUGGAGUUGCUCGCGAAGUGAAAUGGACCUCACGAUUUAGAGGAAGGAGAAGUCGUAACA